GACGUAGGGCGCGAGCGUUGUCCGGAUUUAUUGGGCGUAAAGAGCUCGUAGGCGGCUUGUCGCGUCGACUGUGAAAUCCCGCGGCUCAACUGCGGGUCUGCAGUCGAUACGGGCAGGCUAGAGUUCGGUAGGGGAGACUGGAAUUCCUGGUGUAGCGGUGAAAUGCGCAGAUAUCAGGAAGAACACCAAUGGCGAAAGCAGCUCUCUGGGACGGUACUGACGCUGAGACGCGAAAGCGUGGGGAGCGAACAGG
rnacentral:rRNA from 1 species